rnacentral:siRNA from 1 species
CCACUCUAAAGUAUUUCGGUGCU